AAGUCGUAACAAGGUUUUCCUUCCGGUUAAAGAAUAGCUUCUAUUCUGUUUAACUAUUGAAGCCUUACGCACCGACUGUAAACAAUUGUGGAGUCUUGCCUCUCGGGCAAAGACAAUACCGCUGAAAUGCUGUGAUCACGUAAGUGUACCAGCAGCCUAAUACUUUAGGCCCACAGAUCAAGUGGCGGUGGUCUCUUAGCUUAAAGGCUAGAGAUUAUAAUAUGACCGGUCUUAACCUCAACGGUUAGGAAUUUAACGUUCCGUAGGUGAACCUGCGGAAGGAUCAUUAAUGAGUUAGGG
rnacentral:misc_RNA from 1 species